rnacentral:rRNA from 1 species
UACGUAGGGUGCAAGCGUUGUCCGGAAUUAUUGGGCGUAAAGAGCUCGUAGGCGGUCUGUCGCGUCUGCUGUGAAAACUCAGGGCUUAACCCUGAGCUUGCAGUGGGUACGGGCAGACUAGAGUGCGGUAGGGGAGACUGGAAUUCCUGGUGUAGCGGUGAAAUGCGCAGAUAUCAGGAGGAACACCGAUGGCGAAGGCAGGUCUCUGGGCUAUAACUGACGCUCAUGCACGAAAGCGUGGGGAGCAAACAGG